rnacentral:lncRNA from 1 species
CUCAAGGGUAUUUUGAGUUAAUUUGAAUAGUCUCCUAUUAGAAUGGUACCCACCCCUGUUAUGUUCUACCUACAUGACAGCUUUACACACUAUUCUAUUUCUCUGUCCUUUUAAUAGCUUCUUUUCUGAGCCGGAGGAGGAGGAGGAAAGGGUUGUAGGCAACUCAUGUAUGGGCACCAUCAUGUACAUUCCUGAUCGAAAAGGCGUGGCUCAGAGAGGGGAAGAGAGCAGCUUGCCUAUUUCCUGUAACCAGGCCUGUAACACUGCACUGGUUCAGUGAAGACCCCAUCGUGAGAGUUGGAAGAGCCCCAGGGCUUCCUUCUCUGGGGAUGUCUGGAGCUGGUUGGGAUUUCCCAGAGGGAGGAUGCUGUCACUGAAGCUGCAAGGUCUUACACAAGCUCCUAUUUGAAUGUUCGACCCCCACCUCCACCCCCAGCCGCUCCUGGGAAUCUCAGGAGGUGGAGCCUACUUAUUGUAUUGGAUUAUUUAGAGUGACCUAGCCCUUCAUUCUGAACAUUCUGCUUUCUGGACCAUUCGGGUGUGAGCAACCACAGCUGCAUGCUGACCCUGCCGCAGCUGCAGGUGCUCUGCUCUACUUUCCCUGCUAAGAUGGUCUGAGCUCCAGAUAAGUCGAGUCAAGCUGUUCUUGUUUCUGUCAAGUAUUUUGGUCGUGGUGAUAGAAACGUAAUGAGAGGAUGUCUGGCACCAGUGCCAGUGAGACAGCUAGUGCCAAGAAGAGAACUGGAACAGAACGAGAAGGGGCUUGCUACUACACACAGGGGGCAUUGACUUCAGUUCUCAGUAAGCCUACUAAGUUCCACAGCAUCCAAAGGACUGUAUUACAAAACCAGGGGUAAGGAAACAUCAAUUUUCUUCCUGAAUCACAUGAUUGUCUGGGUUCUAAACAUCCAGGAGGAUAAGAAACCAGAGUCAUGAAGAAUGUGAACACGGG